rnacentral:rRNA from 1 species
UUUGUCCUACGGGAGGCAGCAGUGAGGAAUAUUGGUCAAUGGGCGCUAGCCUGAACCAGCCAAGUAGCGUGAAGGAUGACUGCCCUAUGGGUUGUAAACUUCUUUUAUAUGGGAAUAAAGUGCAGUAUGUAUACUGCUUUGCAUGUACCUUAUGAAUAAGGAUCGGCUAACUCCGUGCCAGCAGCCGCGGUAAUACGGAGGAUCCGAGCGUUAUCCGGAUUUAUUGGGUUUAAAGGGAGCGUAGGCGGGUUGUUAAGUAAGUUGGGAAAGUUUGCGGCUCAACCGUAAAAUUGGAGUUGAAACGG